rnacentral:rRNA from 1 species
GACAGAGGGUGCAAACGUUGUUCGGAAUUACUGGGCGUAAAGCGCGUGUAGGCGGCAGCGCAAGUCGGAUGUGAAAUCCCAUGGCUCAACCAUGGAAGUGCACCCGAAACUGCGUCGCUAGAGUCCUGGAGAGGAAGGUGGAAUGCUUGGUGUAGAGGUGAAAUUCGUAGAUAUUCGCAAGUACACCAGUGGCGAAGGCGGCUCACUGGCCCGGUACUGACGCUGAGGUGCGAAAGCGUGGGGAGCAAACAGG